AGGAGGCGGGGCCGCAUCUUAGGCCUCUUUGAGUCCAGCUCGGUGGGACGCUGACCCAAGCGAAAAUAUGAGCGAGUUUACUGAAGAGUGCGCCCGGCUCCGGCGCUACCAUGAGCUCCCGGUGUGGGUGGUGGAGGAUCAUCAGGAGGUUCUGCCCUUUAUAUACCGGGCCAUUGGCUCAAAGCAUCUUCCUGCAAGUAAUAUAAGUUUUGUGCAUUUUGAUUCACAUCCAGACCUCCUUAUUCCUGUGAAUAUGCCAGCUGACACUGUAUUUGAUAAGGAAACACUUUUCGGAGAAUUAAGUAUCGAGAAUUGGAUUAUACCUGCAGUUUAUGCUGGCCAUUUUUCCCAUGUAAUAUGGCUUCAUCCCACAUGGGCUCAGCAAAUCAGAGAGGGCAGACAUCAUUUUUUAGUAGGCAAAGACACUUCGACCACAACAAUCAGGGUUACAAGUACAGAUCAUUACUUUCUAAGUGAUGGUCUUUAUGUAACUGAAGACCAGCUAGAGAACCAAAAACCUUUACAAUUGGAUGUAAUUAUGGUGAAACCUUAUAAACUCUGUAACAGUCAAGAAGAAAAUGACGCAGUGUCUUCUGCUAAGAAGCCAAAGCUAGCACUGGAGGACGCAGAGAACACUGCCUCUACUAAUGGUGAAUCUUGUUCAGAAGGACUGGAAAAUGACUCAGUGACACAGAGAAGAGACCAAACUUGUCUACAACCAUCAUGUUCAUGUUCUUCUGAAAGCCAAGAAUGCCACACUUCAGUAAGCACUGGAGAAAUCCUGGAAAUUUUGGAGAAAGGGGAUGCAUUUGUUUUAGAUAUUGACUUAGAUUUUUUUUCAGUCAAGAAUCCCUUCAAAGAAAUGUUCACUCAGGAGGAGUACAAAAUCUUACAAGAGCUGUACCAAUUUAAAAAGCCUGGUACCAACCUGACAGAGGAAGAUUUGGUAGAUUGUGUUGAUACUCGAACUCAUCAAUUAGAAGAUUUAGAAGCUGCUUUUGCCGAUUUGUGUGAUGGUGAUGAUGAAGAAACUGUACAGAAAUGGGCUUCAAAUCCUGGAAUGGAAUCACUAGUUCCACUGGUACAAAGUUUGAAAAAACGGAUGGAAGCGCCGGACUAUGAAAUGGUUCACCAGGCUGGUCUAACCUGUGAUUAUUCAGAACUUCCUCACCAUAUCAGCACAGAACAAGAAAUUGAAUAUCUUAUUCAAUCUGUGUAUUACGUUCUAAAAAAUUUGCCAAAACCUACUGUAGUGACAAUUGCAAGGUAAGUGUGGUAGCCUGAAUAAUGGCUCACCAAAUAUGUCCACAUCCUUAUCUCCAGACCCUGUGAAUAUGUUGUCUUAUAUGCCAGAAGGGACUUUGCAUAUCUGGUUAAUUCAAGGAGCUUGAAAUUGAGGCAAUUAUCCUGGAUUAUCCAGUGAGCCCAGUGUAAUCACAGGGGUUAUUAUAAGAGAAAGGCAGGAAGGUCAGAAUCAGAGAGAUUGGAAGAUGCAAGACUGCUGGCUUUGAAGAUGGAGGAUGGGGCUUUGCGCUAAGGAAUUCAUGCAGCCUCUAGAAGCCCGAAAGACAAGGAAGCAGAUUCUUCCCUAGAGCCUAGAGAAGAAAUACAGCCCUGACAGCACCUUUAUUUUAGGACUUCUGAUCUCCAACACAACUGUAAGUGAUGGUUCGCAAACAACAUGCAACUCCUGUUAAUCUUGUCUUUGAAGUUGGUGAUGUUAUUCAGUUGAACAUAAGAAUUCCCAUUUCUGUGUCCUACAGAUGAAUAUUUAGCUGCUACCAUGUUUUAAAUUUGAAUGUACUAAUGUGCUGAAUAGGUACAGCAAUUUAAUAAAAAUUUCUUUUCUAUGUUAAUCUUUGGACUCAUUUUGUAUGUAACUGUGAGUUUCUAAAAUAAGUACUUUAAAUGCUCAGGCAAGUAAUAUUACAUAUUUUAUGAGAAAUAUUUAUGAGAAUUCUUUUACCAUUCUGAAUGAAAUUCAUAAUCUAAUCUAUAUACACAUAAUUUAAAUAUAUUUAGAUAGCAUUUAUAAUAUAUAGAUGAUAUCAUUGUCUUAAUCCAUUCAGGCUGCAAUAACAAAAAUAUCUUCGACUGGGUGACUUAUAAACAACGGGAAUUUAUUCCUCACAGACCUGUAGGCUCGAAAGUCCAAGAUGAAGGCACCAGCAGGUUCAGUGUCUGGUGAGGACCUGCUUCCUGGUUCAUAGACGACCAUCUUCUCCCUGUAACCUCACAUACAAUGAAGGGGUGAAGAUGCUCUCUAGGGCCUCUUUAAUAAAGGCAUUAAUCUCAUUCAUGGGGCCUCCAUCCUCAUGACCCAGUCACCUUCCAAAGACCUCCACCUCCAAAUAUAAUCACAUUGGGGAUUAGGUUUCAACAUAGUAAUUUUGGGGGCACACAAACAUUUAGUUUAUAGCAGUAACCUACCUAUACACAUAAUUUAAAUAUAUAUUCAUAUAGCCACACACCAAAAAAAUCGUAACAUAAAGGAGAAAUGAAAGUAAUUGAUAAUGGAGUAAUAUAUAUUAAAAUGCCACACCAAACUGGCAUCUUUACAAAGAAUCACUAAAUGCAAUUGUUAAAAAUGCCAACAGAUCCAGUGUGUCCUAUUGCCCAAAUACCAUGAAGAGCACUGCCAUGGCAACAUGGUUAGUCUAGUCACAGGAACCUCUUGGUAAAGUUCUGAACUUAAAGUCCAAUCUUCCCUCAAUUCACAGAGUAUUUGCAUUCCUGGAAAAUUUAGUUUAAUCCAUUUUCAAAAAUACUUUGUUUAUAUGUAGAAGAGUAUUAAAUUCUAGGCUCAAAAAAACAGGUUUUUCACUUAUGUAAGUGCUCUGUGGACCUUGGAGACUGUACAGGACACAGGACAAUUCAUACGCACAUUGCAGGACUAUCUUGCAUAUUGCAAGCACUCUAGCAGCCCUGCCCUCUUCCCUGGUCCCCUAGUUGUCGUUGUGACAAUCAAAAAUGUACCUGCAGAUUUCCAAAACUCCCUCUUGUGGGUAGCUCCCAUCAAGAGCUACUCUAAUACUGUUUUAAAGAAGCCAGAAAUCUUUGUGAAAGCAUUGAAAUGCCCCUUAUUUUUUAAGGCUAAUAAAUUAAACUUCUACAUAUCCUGCUUGCUUAAAGUAGGCCUUUAUCCAUAUGUGUAUGUUAGACAGUAUUUAAUAAUUUAAAAUUGUUUACAUCAAGCCUCAAAAAUAACCUAAUCACCGUAGAAUGAAAUGAGUUCAUCUGAAGUCUUACCGAUUGUUUCUUUAGGUCUAAAAUACUUGUGAUAAGGAGUAGGCUAGAUAACUAAUUCCAUUUCCUCCUAUAAAGAUUUCUGUGCCAUUUUCCAAUCCAGUGGGAUUUCCAAUGGAUUUCUUCACCCCAGUUCAGAACCAGGAGACACUGAUAAAAUCGUUUUAGAUACUAAUCCGGCUAAAAUUAUCAGCGACAUUGUUACUGGCUGGUGCCACUCAAAUUACAGUUGGUGAUUCUAGAAAGACCCAAAACGCAGAGUCCUGCCCCGUCGCACUUUGCUCUCUUCUCUUAAUACUACCUAGGAGACUAAUCCCAACACCAGCACAUCCGCACGUUUCAUUUUGGAUGAUCUUGUACGCUUGUGUGGUUAGCAGGUUGUUUAUAGAAGCAGAACCCUUUUAUCGGUUGGACUGCCUCUACCCUCAUAAUUUCUAGCCUGAGUGUACACAUAAUAAAAGAAUGUGAAACAUGAUGUCCAGUCACUGAUAUAAUUAGCCCCAGUGUUCCCAAGCAACAUCUCCCUUUCAGGGAAACAACAGCCUAGUAUUAAGAACUGAGGCUUUGAAGAUAUGCUGUAUGGUUCUGAAUCCCAUCACCAACACUUACUAGUAUGUGGCCUGUGCAGGUUAAUCUUUCUCUGUUUCAGACUCCUUUAAAGGGAUGGUAAAUGUACCUAUUUCAUAGAAUUGCUGGGAAGAUUAAAGAACAUAAUUCAUGCAAUGCGCCUGGCAUAGAGUAAACGUUUAGUAGCUUUCAACAGUUAUUAUACCAAAAUUCAACAUAGCUUCUUCAUUUCUACUUUACAUUGAAGUCAACACAUGCAGGCUUUUCCUCACUUCACAGUAUGAUCUCAUCUUAUUUAUGUGUAUUUUUCUUCUCCUUUCUCUUUCUCUGCUUG